AGAGUUUGAUCCUGGCUCAGAACGUACGCUGGCGGCACGCCUAACACAUGCAAGUCGAACGCAGUAGCAAUACUGAGUGGCGAACGGGUGAGUAACAUGUGGGUAUCUUCCCUUUGGUGAGGAAUAACACGAGGAAACUUGUGCUAAUACCUCAUAAGUCUUUACGGAGAAAGCUUUAUGCGCCAAUGGAUGAGCCUGCACUUGAUUAGUUUGUUGGUGGGGUAAUGGCCUACCAAGACUUUGAUCAAUAGCUGAUUUGAGAGGAUGAUCAGCCACAUUGGGACUGAGACACGGCCCAAACUCCUACGGGAGGCAGCAGUAGGGAAUCUUGCACAAUGGAGGAAACUCUGAUGCAGCGAUGCCGCGUGAGUGAAGAAGGCCUUUGGGUUGUAAAGCUCUUUCGUCGGGGAAGAAAAUGACUGUACCCGAAUAAGAAGGUCCGGCUAACUUCGUGCCAGCAGCCGCGGUAAUACGAAGGGACCUAGCGUAGUUCGGAAUUACUGGGCUUAAAGAGUUCGUAGGUGGUUAAAAAAGUUGGUGGUGAAAUCCCAGAGCUUAACUCUGGAACUGCCAUCAAAACUUUUUAGCUAGAGUAUGAUAGAGGAAAGCAGAAUUUCUAGUGUAGAGGUGAAAUUCGUAGAUAUUAGAAAGAAUACCAAUUGCGAAGGCAGUUUUCUGGAUCAUUACUGACACUGAGGAACGAAAGCAUGGGUAGCGAAGAGGAUUAGAUACCCUCGUAGUCCAUGCCGUAAACGAUGUGUGCUAGACGUUGGAAAUUUUAUUUUCAGUGUCGCAGCAAAAGCGUUAAGCACACCGCCUGGGGAGUACGACCGCAAGGUUAAAACUCAAAUGAAUUGACGGGGACCCGCACAAGUAGUGGAGCAUGUGGUUUAAUUCGAAGAUACGCGCAGAACCUUACCAACACUUGACAUGUUCGUCGCGACUCUAAGAGAUUAGAGUCUUCGGUUCGGCCGGACGAAACACAGGUGCUGCAUGGCUGUCGUCAGCUCGUGUCGUGAGAUGUUGGGUUAAGUCCCGCAACGAGCGCAACCCUUACUUUUAGUUGCCAUCAUUUAGUUGGGAACUCUAAAAGAACUGCCAGUGAUAAGCUGGAGGAAGGUGGGGAUGACGUCAAGUCCUCAUGGCCCUUACGUGUUGGGCUACACACGUGCUACAAUGGUACUUACAAUGAGAAGCAAAGAGGCGACUCUAAGCCAAUCUUAAAAAAGUACCUCAGUUCGGAUUGCACUCUGCAACUCGAGUGCAUGAAGCUGGAAUUACUAGUAAUCGUGGAUCAGCGCGCCACGGUGAAUACGUUCCCGGGUCUUGUACACACCGCCCGUCACACCAUGGAAGUUGGUUACACCUUAAGGCAAAUUGUUAACCCUCGGGAAACAUUUGACUACGGUACGAUCAGCGACUGGGGUGAAGUCGUAACAAGGUAACC
rnacentral:rRNA from 1 species